rnacentral:rRNA from 1 species
GACGAACGCUGGCGGCGUGCUUAACACAUGCAAGUAGAACGAUGAACCCGGAGCUUGCUCCGGCGGAUUAGUGGCGAACGGGUGAGUAACACGUGAGUAACCUGCCCUCGACCCUGGGAUAACUGCGGGAAACUGUAGCUAAUACCGGAUACGACCCUCGGCGGCAUCGCCAGGGGGUGGAAAGAAUUGCGGUGAAGGAUGGAUUCGCGGCCUAUCAGCUAGUUGGUGAAGUAACGGCUCACCAAGGGGACGACGGGGAGCCGGCCUGAGAGGGUGACCGGCCACACUGGGACUGAGACACGGCCCAGAGCCCUACGGGAGGCAGCAGUGGGGAAUAUUGCACAAUGGGAGCAAGGCUGAUGAAGCAACGCCGCGUGAGGGAUGACGGCCUUCGGGUUGUAAACCUCUUUUAGUAGGGAAGAAGCGAAAGUGACGGUACCUGCAGAAAAAGCACCGGCUAACUACGUGCCAGCAGCCGCGGUAA